GGAGGCGCCGGUCGUUGGGGUCCUGCACAUGGCCCCGCGCCGCCGCCAUGAUGAGAGCGCAGAACCGCAGCGCGCAGCCGCCACCGCCAGCCCUGCCUGGGCGGGCCGCGGGUGGGGAAAGAGGCCGGGCGAUGCGAGGCGAGGCGCGCCGAGGAGGAGGAGAAGGAGGCGCUUGGCGGGCGGACUGGCGGGCGGCCUCCUUACCUGUCGGUCUCCUUCGUGAGGGCCUGAGGCGUCGCCGUCUUCCCCCCUCCGCCUUUUCCCUCCUCACAUGGCUGGAAGGCGGGAAAGCCAGUCACCUCAGCAGCCACGAAUUCGUGUUGCUGUUAUUAUUGCCUCAAGCCACGAGUCCCUUAGCGUAGCUGCUCUCCUCACAAACAGCCCUGUGAGGGAGAACUUCAUAGGAAUUUCAAUGACAUCAUUUCAUCUUGCUCUCAUCUUGCAUCUCUACAAAGCCCCAAACUCUUGUUUACUUGCAGACAGGUCCCUCAUGGAUGGACAAGGAUAAAGCCAGUACUUCACAAGAGAGAAGCAUCUGUGGGAAGAGAGAAAAAGCCUUUGUGUUCCUGUUGCUUUGCAAUCAGAUGGGAAGCUGAGCAAAACAGAUUCCUGAGCUCAUGGACUAGGGGCAUGGCAUUUGAAGACAUGCACUUGAAAUCUGCACCAAUUGAGUGGGUAAUUAAGGUACUGGACAUCACCAAAAUGGAUCCAUUAACAGAUAAUGUGUGCAGAAGAAAUGGAUGUGGGUUUGUGUCAAGUUACUUUGGUGAAAAAUGAGCUCCAUGUAUUUCUUCUUGGGGCAACCGUUGUAAUUAGUACAUCUGGGUCACCUCCCCACCCACCAUCCAGUCCAACAUCUCCUCCUCACCCAUCCAUCAGCUGAGCUCCACCAUCAGUACCUAUGCGACUCUAUCGCCAACCAAAAGGCUGGUCCAUCCCUUCAAGCAGUACAGCAAACAUUACGAGGAACUGUAUGCCACGGCCACCCUGCAGAUUCCUGGAAGCCUAGCAGCUGGAUCCCAGGCUUCUUACACCAGCCAGCAUAACUACCUAGGCUAUGUGUUAAGGGCACUGCAGUCUCCAGAUCACCACAUAGGUCCUAUUUACGAAG